GCUCAUAUUAUCUGUCCAGAAAAGUCCUACUGCUCUUGGCUUUACACUAUGCAAUGAUUAACCAAGUAUUAGGCUAUUUGUUUUUCUUUGGAUAAGCUCUUUGUAUAGGCCAAGUUGUCAUGUGUUCAGCAUGACUAAUAUGAUCCUUUCUUAUUACUUGUCAUGUGUUCCACGCUUGAACUUUUAUAAGUGGUGGAAGAAUGGAGUAUCUGUAAUGAGAUAAUGUAUUUCCUUUUAUGUUGGGUGACUAAAUCUGCAGUUUUCUUGUCACAGGUUAAUAGGUCACUUGAAAUUUCCUGAUUACAUAUAAUCUUUAUCAUUAAGCUGCUUGAAGAUUUUGUGAGUUCAAAGAUAACUUGGAUGUAGUGCAGUCGUGAGGAAAUUGAUGUAGAUAGGAACUUACUAGGAAUUUUGUAUUUGGUAUCAUUCAAACAGUACUUUGGUCAAUAAUAUAUAAUUUUGGUUGGUA